GACGAACGCUGGCGGCGUGCUUAACACAUGCAAGUCGAACGGUGAAGCGCCUUCCUUUUUGGUGGGUGUGGAUGAGUGGCGAACGGGUGAGUAACACGUGAGUAACCUGCCCCCUUCUUCUGGAUAACCGCAUGAAAGUGUGGCUAAUACGGGAUAUUCUGGGUCUGUCGCAUGAUGGGUCUGGGAAAGAUAUUGUUUCGGUGGGGGAUGGGCUCGCGGCCUAUCAGCUUGUUGGUGGGGUGAUGGCCUACCAAGGCGGUGACGGGUAGCCGGCCUGAGAGGGUGGACGGUCACACUGGGACGGAGACACGGGCAAGACUCCUACGGGAGGCAGAAGUGGGGAAUAUUGAACAAUGGGCGCAAGCCUGAUGCAGCGACGCCGCGUGAGGGAUGGAGGCCUUCGGGUUGUGAACCUCUUUCGCCAGUGAAGCAGGCCUGCCUCGUUUGUGGGUGGGUUGACGGUAGCUGGAGAAGAAGCGCCGGCUAACUACGUG
rnacentral:rRNA from 1 species